rnacentral:rRNA from 1 species
UGGGGAAUAUUGCACAAUGGGCGCAAGCCUGAUGCAGCAACGCCGCGUGAGGGACGACGGCCUUCGGGUUGUAAACCUCUUUUAGUAGGGAAGAAGCGAAAGUGACGGUACCUGCAGAAAAAGCACCGGCUAACUACGUGCCAGCAGCCGCGGUAAUACGUAGGGUGCGAGCGUUGCCCGGAAUUAUUGGGCGUAAAGAGCUCGUAGGCGGUCUGUCGCGUCUGCUGUGAAAACCCGAGGCUCAACCUCGGGCCUGCAGUGGGUACGGGCAGACUAGAGUGCGGUAGGGGAGAAUGGAAUUCCUGGUGUAGCGGUGGAAUGCGCAGAUAUCAGGAGGGGCACCGAUGGCGAAGGCAGGUCUCGUGGCCGUAACUGACGCUGAGGAGCGAAAGCGUGGGGAGCGAACAGGAUUAGAUACCCUGGUAGUCCACGCCGUAAACGUUGGGCGCUAGAUGUGGGGACCAUUCCACGGUUUCCGUGUCGCAGCUAACGCAUUAAGCGCCCCGCCUGGGGAGUACGGCCGCAAGGCUAAAACUUAAAGGAAUUGACGGGGUCAU